rnacentral:lncRNA from 1 species
ACUCUGUUCCCAGGUCCUUUGACUAGAGGAAACUUUGACUUCCUGCUUGCCAAACCACUUCCCCUCUCUCCCUCUAUGAACAUUCUCCCUACCCUCCAGCCUCCUCCCUCUAGGAAAGGCAUCUUGGUUUCCUAGCAUUUCACUUCUCUAAUACAACCACUAACCUCUGCCUGAGUGACUCCUGGGUCCUGAGCCAAGCAGAACUGAAACUUGGACAACCAGCCGGCUGUCCCCCCAAAAGUGGAGACCCCCUGAUGCUCAGAGUAAAGAAGAUGCAGAACAGAAAGAGAAAAUAGAGUUCAGUUCAAUCCGUAUGUUUCCAUGCUCUACAGAUGCCCAUGCUAACGGUGGAGGCAAUUACAAGCCACAGAGCACAGACAGGGAGGAGAGGGAGAAGCAUGUUCCCCAUGAGCAUGGACCAUGAGGCGGGGCUCGAUGCCAAGACCCUAGGAUCCUGACCUGAGCAGAAGGCAGCCGCCUGAAGCCUUCGAAGCCCGACGUGCACCUCCCUGGGGGCCCUGGGGAGAAACCACCCUCCCGAAUUUUACAUUCAUCGCUGUUAGUUUUUCUUUGUGGUUUUACCAUAAUUGGAUAAAACAUUAAAAGAUUAUUUUGUUGGGUUUUGCCUGUGUUUGACCUUCACACCAAUGGAAGCUCGUGAUCUUUCCGGUAUACCCACUGGGGGAAGGUGGCAUCUUGACCUGGUUUCUAUGUCAUCUCAGGAAUGAGGUGGCCCACUGUAACAGAGGGUGGGGUAGGGGGGCUGUUUUCCAUUUGAAUGGAUUUGGUGCCUUUAAGUCUAAUUGUGUUCAUCUGGUGUGAAAAUGGUGCUUGUGCAGUUAACAGGUGUGGAUUCUGGCAGCAGAGGACCCCAUUCUGAGACCAGCUUCCAUCACCCACAGCUGUGUGGCCUUAGAUGCACUACCAUCUGAGUCCUUGCAUACAUAAAGUGGAGAUAAUGAUUCCCAACUCACAGAAUUGAUGUAAGGAAUAAUUUUUAAAAAG